rnacentral:rRNA from 1 species
CGGGGUGAGGAAUACAUCGGAAUUUGCCCAGUCGUGGGGGAGUAACGUAGGGAAACUUACGCUAAUACCGCAUACGACCGAGAGGUGAAAGCGGGGGAGUCUGUAAGGACCUCGCGCGAGUGGAUGAGCCGAUGUCGGAUUAGCUAGUUGGCGGGGUAAAGGCCCACCAAGGCGACGAUCCGUAGCUGGUCUGAGAGGACGAUCAGCCACACUGGGAUUGAGAACGGCCCAG